rnacentral:lncRNA from 10 species
GACAAACGAGAGAUACAAGAUCAUGGCAGUUCUCUCUUCUUCCACCGGACAUUGCUGUGUCUGCCUAAAAUGUCGAAUUGGCAACAGCCAUUUUGUAACCACGGGACACAGAGCAAAGUCCGCAGAGCAGAAAGGUGGAAGGAUCCUGGAUUCCUGGUGAGGUUGAAGCACUCAAAAGGUGGGUCUUGGUCCCCUCCGCUUGAACCCGGAUGGACUUUUGUGAUGACCUCAACCACUGGGUGUGGUGGAAGUGGCUGCAUGAGUUCUGAGGCUUGGUCAUUAAAAGUGAUAUGGCCGGGCGCGGUGGCUCACACCUGUAAUCCCAGUACUUUGGGAGGCCGAGGUGGGCAGAUCACUUGAGGUUAGGAGUUCGAGAUCAGCCUGGCCAACAGAGUGAAACUUUGUCUCUAAUAAAAAUACAAAAAUUAGCCAGAUGUGGUGGCACACGCCUGUAAUCCCAGCUACCUCAGAGGCUGAGGCAGGAGAAUCGCUUGGGCUGGGAGGCGGAGGUUGCAGUGAGCCGAGAUUGCACCACUGCUCUCCAGCCUGGGCGACAGAGUGAGUGAGACUCUGUCUCAAAAAAAAAAAAAGUGAUAUGGCCUCUCCUUGGAUCUCUCUUGGGACACACUCAGGGGACCCCCUCAUGAACUGCAGGAAAGACGUCUGGCUUUCCUGAAGCCACCAUGCUGAAAUGAACACACAAGCAGGAGAGCGACGCCCGAGGAGGACCAGCUGUUUGAGUCUGCCCAGCCCAGGUGUCAGACUGUAAAUGAAGACGGCAGCCAGAUGACACUGCCAGCCACCAGCCCCUCUGACUGCACCCUCCAAGAGAUCCAGAGCUCAAACCGCCCUGGGGAGCCACUCCCGAGAUCUUACCCCCAGAAACCAUGAGGUAGAGAAUGAUUCUUGUUGCUUUAAUCCUCCAAGUUUGGGGGGUGAUUUGUUGUGUAGUCAGAGAUAACGAAUACGCCACCUUCAUUCUGAGCAUUCAUCAUAUGAAGUAAUACGUCUUCCUUAUUGCUUAAGCCAGAGGUCGGUGAAAAUUUUCUGUAAAGGGCAGACAUUAAAUAUAAUUUUAGGCUUUCCAGAUCACAUGGUCUCUAUUGCAAUGACUCAGCUUGCCGUUGUUGCAUGAAAGCAGCCAUCGGCAAUAGAAAUGGGUGGGCGUAACUGCAUUCCUAUAGACCUUCAUUAACAAAAACAAGGAGCCAGACCAUAAGCAGCAGUUUGUUGACCCCUGGUUAAAGCCAUUUUUGAGUUAAGUUUUCUGUUACUUGCAGCCCAAAACAUACUGUUACAACUAUCCAAUCAGAGAGCUCCAGGCAAAGGGCAACCACAAGAGGCUCUAGGGUGUGUGCAUAGUUCUCUGGGGUGUGUGCCUGGGCUCUGGGGUGUGUGCAUAGUUCUCUGGGGUGUGUGCCUGGGCUCUGAGGUGUGUGUGAGCUCUGAGGUGUGUGCAUAGUUCUCGGGGGUGUGUGCAUCGUUCUCUGGGGUGUGUUCUUGGGCUCUGGGGUGUAUGCCUGGGCUCUGGAGUGUGUGCACAGGUCUGAAAAUGUGUGUAGAAGUCAGGAUGUGUACACAGGUCUGAGUGUGUUGUGUGGGCUCUAUGGUGUGUGCCAAGAUCUGGGGUGUGCAUGGGUUCUGGGGGUGUAUGUGUGAGCCCUAGCAUUAUGCGAAUGGGCUCUGGGAUGUAUGCACAGGUCUGAGUGUGUGCAUGAGCACACAGGUCUGAGUGUAUGUGUGAGAGCUCUGGGGGUGUGUGCAUGAGCUCUGGGGGUAUGUACAGGUCGGGAUGGGUGUGUAUGAGCUCUGGGGGGGUGUGCACAGGUCUGGGUGUGUGUGUUUCUGUGUGUGUGUGAGCUCUGGAAGUGUGUGCAUAGGCUCUGGGGUGUAUGCAUAAGCACACAGGUCUGGGUGUGGGUGUGUGAGCUCUCGGGGUAUGGGCACGGGUUCUGGGGAUGCAUGCCUGAGCCCUGAGCGGGCCCCACUCACCCACCAUCUUAUCUACUGAGACAAGAAGGGCUGGGCUGUUCGUUCAUGAAGUCUCCUGGGCAUCUCUUAUCAUGUGAUCCCCAGCCUCUGCGUCCUCCUCCUCCUCACAGGCUCCAGGAUCUCUGGAAUCCAACUCACUGGACGCCCAGCCAGUCAGGCAGGCAGGGAGUGUGGAGGCCUCCCCUCAAGUAAGGACCUAAUGGCUAAAGCUGGGCAUGGGACAGGCCUGUGCAAAGAGAGGAGAGGGAGGAAGGACCAGGGUGUGCUGGAAGCGUAUCCUCCCUCUCCCCGGCCUCUCUCCUCCCACCUCAGAUGGGCCUGGAGGAGAUUAGCUUCACUCACGGCAGUAAUUGUUUGCUGAGUGCUUGCUGUGUUUUAAGCUCAGCAUUUACAAGCAGGUGACAUGGAGAACUCUAGGUGCUGGACAUGCUGUUAGCCCCAUUUCAUGGACGAGGGAAUGGGCGAACAGAGAGGGAAGUCACUGUCCUGGGGACCCACAAUAGGAGGCAGGAUGCCCACCCAGGCUGGCUGUCCCCACGCCAAGAUCUAGGAUGAGUCCUCAGUCAAAGCCAGAGCAGACCCAACGGAACCGCUCAGCCCCCUGACAAGGCAAUGAGUCUCGCCGGCCAGGGGGGCUCUGCCCCCGCCCCCACCCAGGUGGGUCCCCUGCCCCCAGGCUGGCAAGGUGCUGGGGGGCUGAUGCCGGAGCCCCUGCUGCUUGCCGCCUGCCUGCUCAUCUUGUUUGUUCCAAUUAUGUCAAUGGCCAGUGAUGUUCCAGCAGGUGGCUGGGUCCUGCUGUGAGGACAACAUGGAGCAGAGCCCAGGCUUACCUACAAUGGACAUGCAGUGAUGCCAGGGCCUUCUGGAAGUGCCUGUUUGGCAGUUGGAGCUGGCUGGGGGCUGGGACGUAUCUGGACUGUCUGCCACAACACCAACCCACAGCCCCCUUUCGGGCUACUUGGACUUCCUCACAACAUGGCGGCCCUGGGCAGUCAGAUGCUUACACAGCAUCUCAGGGCUAUAGCACGAAGGCACCUGCAUCACCUUCUGUGACCUAGCCUUGGAGGCCACGCAGCGUCUCUUCUGCCACAUUCUAUUAGUUGUGAGUGAGUCAUGAACGUGCUCAGAUUCAGGAGGGAGAGAACAUAAACCCCACUCUCCAGCAGUGGGAGGUAAAGGUCAUAUGGGAAGAAUAUCUUGUGGGAUGGGAGAAAUUGCAGAGGCUGUCUCUGGAAAAUGCCAUCUGUUACAAGGGACUUAGACCACCCCCGUCCCACCUCUCCUCCAGGCCUGGGUCCUUCCCAUGGCCACCUGCUGACCACUGGGGACUUCUGUGUCAUCCCUCCAGCUCUGAAGAUUCCUCUCAGUGAACUUCUUAGCUAAGCCUGCCAGCCCACAGCCUUCUCUCGUGUCCUGCCUGGCGAGGGGUCUGGCUGGUGUUGAAGGCAGCCCCAGGGCCUCACCUCACACUGCACAAUGACCCACGGUGCCCUGGACAAGAGGCUGCCCUUGGCAUUCCAGGCAAAAAGUCGCUUCCCUGAAAUGUUCUCCAGUGGGAAGCUAAGAGCGUGCCUGCCUCCCAUCCUGACCUCCUGCCCCUUCAGAAGCGUCCCUGCAGCUCCUGCCUGCACCUGGCAGGGAGCACCGCUACAGAGUUUGCUGCUGUACCGGCUCAGAAACGGGAGUUCCCGGCACAGGGCCAUCGGCGAGCCUCCCAGCUGGAGUGUGGGCAGAGGCAGACACUGGGGCUGCAGGGGAGUGGCCCCCAGGGUGUGAAUAGGAGGGCAUCCUGCAGGCUCCAGACAUUGCCAUGCGUGUUGCUGUGAUUAACCCCCAAACCCAGCUCCAUCAUUCAUUCACUCCUUCAUUUGUUCAUCCUAUUGUCCCAGGAGCUGGGCUAUAACAGAAAGGAGACAGGCCACAGACAGACAGGCAAGGCCAUCCCAGGCAGUGAGAGGCGACGUGAACUCUGUGAACUGAGAUGAUGAGGAAGAGAGGAGAAGGGCGGGGCCGCUUUAGAAAGGCUGCUGGGGAUGUCCUGUUUGAGGAGGUGACCCUGUCACUGGAGCCAAGCCAAGAGCUGGGGAAGAGCAUGUCAGGCCCCAAGAACUGCAGGUGCAAAGGCCCUGAGGCAGGACCCUAGCAGGACCCUAGCAGGUGCAGGUGCAGGUGCAAAGGUCCUAAGGCAGGACCUGAGCAGGUGCAGGUGCAAAGGCCCUGAGGCAGGACCUGAGCAGAUGCAGGUGCAAAGGCCCUGAGGCGGGACCUGAGCAGGUACGGGUGCAAAGGCCCUGAGGCAGGACCCGAGCAGGCAUGUCUGAGGGUCAUAGGAAGCCUGUGUGCCUGGAGCAGAGGGUACAAGCCCAACGUGGAGCUUGUGCAUGGCUCUCCACUGCCUCCCAACUCAGUCCAGGGGCUUCUGCUCGGCUUUCAAUGCCCUCCACUGUGGGGGCCCUGCCACACCUCCCCAUUCUCUGGGGGCCCCAGGAUUUCCCACAUCCUUGUUUUUUCCCAUAUUGCAUUAGGAUUUGACUUUAUUAUUUAAACAAGAAGCAGAGGCCCCCACUCCUUAGGGCGGAAACGUUGCUCAGAAUCACAUCCUGGAGGAUGGAGUGAAAGGGAUGUUGGUCUUAGAAGCCCUAAGAGAAGACGGCACAGAGUGGCUGGACUGGGGGUGGGGGUGGAAGAGACUGAGGAAGGCCAGGUGGACAAGGCGGGGUGGGGCCCACAGUCCUCAUUGCCACAGGGCUUUGCCAUCUUGCCAAGGAGCCAACUUGCCCUGAUUCCACGGAGCAGGCCACUGGGACUUCCCACUUCUGUGGGGGCGCUGCGACUGCCUCCAAGAUCCUCCCCAAAUCUCUCUGGGCCUCAGUGAGGUGCCUGGGGAAUGGAUUUAAGAUUGGUGGCCCAGUUUCCGGACAGCUGGGAGAUGAGCUCAGCCUUACUAAUGUGAUCGAAGUUGCCAACCCCUGCCCCGCACAUCCUCAGGGGACCCUAGGCUGCUGGCCACCAGCAAGGUUGUCUUGUCUGUUUGAUCUUCGAUUCCUGAGGGUAGUGGGCACCUCGGUAGGUGAUCCUGCCCAAAUCCCGCCUCCGCUUGUCCUCUUGGCAGGGCGGCCUCCCUCCCGCAUACCACAGCCUUCCUGCAAUGCUGCGACUCGGGUUCAUUCCAGGGGAUCCUUGAGCGCUGGCGGCACAGAGGGGCCAACCUUGAACUCAGCAAAGAGGAAUGCUUGACUCCUCUCCAGCUGGAAGGCUGUACCUGGGCUAAGAACUGAUGAGCCUGCUUGAAGGAAACACUCCGUGCUUUUGUUAAAGGGGAAGGGAAAAUAAAAUCCCAAAUCAACCUUGGAUCAAUGUCUCUUCCCCAGACGGCAGCCCAAGGCCUCUGCGGCCUCUGCAUCAGUCAGCUGGGAAAGCGGCACAGCCCCUGGGACUGUGGCUGGGCCAGCCAGCCUCCACCCAGACAGAGCCCGCAGCAGGCCGUUGAUUCACCGUUCCCCAGCAAAAGCGUCAUCCUGAGUCCCAUGGAAGAGACUGGUUAAUCUCUUACUGUGUAAUUAAUCUCUUACUGUGUACCAGGCACAUGCAUACAUCCCAUAACGCAUUCAGCCUCACACCAUCUACUUUACAAAGCACAUAGCACUACUGUCUUCAUCUGGCAGUUAGCAAACCUGUGGCCCAGAGGGGUGGACCAAUUUACUCAUAGCCACAUAGCUGUCAGGAGCUGAGAUACAAGCCCAGGCGUGGUGGAUCCAAAGCCUCUUGUCCUGGCUGGGCAUAAUGGCUCACACCUGUAAUCUCAGCACUUUGAGAGCCUGAGGCAGGAGGAUUGCUUAAGGCCUGGAAUGUAAUAUCAGCCUGGGCAACAUAGCAAGACCCUGUCUUUAUAGAAAAAAUUUUAAAAAUUGGCCAGGCAUGGUGGUGUGCCUGUGGGCCUGGCUACUUGAGAGGCCGAGGCGGGAGGACUGCUGGAGUCCAGGAGUCUGAGGCUGCAGGGAGCUGUGACUGCGCCAGUGCACUCCAGCCAGGGUGAAAGAGUGAUGCCCUAUCUCAAGAAAAAAAAAAAAAGCUCUUGUCCCAAACCCUAUAUCACCAGGUCCGUAGAAGCAGGAGUGUAUUGAAUCCAUUAGGGAGGCACUUGGCUACAAGUAACAAAAACCUUGGCUCACAGUGGCUUAAAGCAUAAGGUCAUUCAUUGUUUAUUUCGGAGGACAUUGAGAAGCAGGCAUAGCCCAGGUGGGUUCACUAGUUCCUCAGUGUCAGGAUACAGGGCUGGCAUCUCUGCAAUUCUCUUAGCCUUCUCCUCAUGGUGGCACCAUGGCUGCCACAGCUGCAGACAUCACUUCAUCCCACAAUGACAUCCAAAGGCAGGAAGGAAGGUGAGGUGGGAAGGAGGCAAAAGGGACCAAACCUCUCUUCCUGUAACCUUCUCAUUUUCUAGUGAGACCUUUUUCCCAGGAGCCGCCAGCAUACUUCCCUCACGUUUCUGGCCAGAAGUGGAUCACAGGCCUUCCCCGGAUUACUCAGGCCCAGAGGGUGCAAUGUGGUCCCCACUACAUGGUAGACAGGAUUUGAACUAAACAACAGUUCGCUGGAGUGGAAAAUAAAGGAUGCUACAUUUUCUUAUUGUGAUAAAAAAUAUAUAUCAUAAAAUUUACCAUUUUAACAAUUUGUAAGUAUACAGGUUGGUAGCAUUAAGGACAGUCACAUUGUUGUGCAACCACUACCAUCCAUUUCCAGAAUUUUUUCAUCUUCCCAAACUGAAACUCUGUCUCCAUUAAACACCAACUCUCCACCUGGCUCCUGCCAGCCCCUGGCUCCCACCAUUCUACUUUCUGUAUCUGUGGAUUUGACUAUUCUAAGGUUGGACUAGUCCAACCUGUACAUAAAUUGAAUCAUACAGUAUUUGUCCCUUUGUGGCUGGCUUAUUUCACUCAGCACAGUGUCCUCAAGGCUCAUCCAUGUUGUGGCCCGUGUCAGAAUAUCCUUCCUUUUUCAAGGCU